AAUGGGGUUUGGGGGGCUUGGAGAAGCAGCGUAGCGAGAGUGGGCCUGCUCGAGAAAUCUCAGCCCAUUGCCAUUGAGAUGGCUCGGCUCGGCCCGGCCCGGCAGGGCCCACCUUCGUGCCUCUCUCUCGCGCGCGGUCGCGCCUGCUGCGCUGCUGCCACUCCUGCGGCUGCGCCUCCCCCCCACCGCCGCCCACCAGCCGUCGGGCGAGGGGGCCCCGCGCGGCUCGCCUGCCGUCUCGCCUCCGGGCACGACCGUGCCACCAUGGUGGUGGCCCUUUUCUGAAGCAUGUGACCGGUGGCGGUGCAGUGGGUUCGGCAUAGUAUUAUUGCAGAUGAUUGCCAAUGCGCAGAAUGAUGAGAUCAUAGCUCCUGUGCUUGAUGAACUGCUACUACUUGAGAAUACUACUGCCAAUAAAGGGGGGUUGUGCGAUUCAGCAGUGAUUUGAACCCCUCUAAUCGGUCCCAGUGUCCAUGUGUAUGCAAGCGUUUCUGGCUGCCUGAUGGAGGAAGUUACCGGAAGAUAGAUAAACUCAUGCGCCAUAUUGUUAUGCAUGAGCAGGAGUUCUGAGAUAUCUAGCAUGUUUCAAAUCUAGACAGAUAGACAUUGACCUGUAAAUUCUACCAGAACAAGGCAACAUUUGAUGGCACAAGCUUGAUGCCUUGAU